GUAAUUCUUCUGAAUUUCUUUCCAGCUCUGGGCAGCGCCAGGGACCCAGCAACCCAGGCUUGGAUCGCACCAAGGGCACCGCUGAGAGGAGGUUUCCAAGUGCUACUGAUGCUGCUGGACCAUAGUUUGAGACUGUACACCCCCAUCUGGACCCUAUUAAAAUGCAUCUCUUGACCAGUCACAGGAGGAGCCUGGGAUGGGGAGGAGAAGACCAAGGAGAGGAGAAGUCAAGACACGUUGACCUCAUAGGUACCAUGGAAAAGAGUUUCGCACUCCAACUAUGUGCUGGUGUCUAA
rnacentral:lncRNA from 1 species